GGUUAACGAAUUUUGUAUACAUGGCUUCCGGCCCGAUCCUCCCACCCUUUGUGUACCUACCUCUGUUGCUUUGGCGGGCCGCGGUCCUCCGCGGCCGCCCCCCUCCCCGGGGGGGUGGCCAGCGCCCGCCAGAGGACCAUCAAACUCCAGUCAGUAAACGAUGCAGUCUGAAAAACAUUUAAUAAACUAAAACUUUCAACAACGGAUCUCUUGGUUCUGGCAUCGAUGAAGAACGCAGCGAAAUGCGAUAAGUAAUGUGAAUUGCAGAAUUCAGUGAAUCAUCGAAUCUUUGAACGCACAUUGCGCCCUUUGGUAUUCCGAAGGGCAUGCCUGUUCGAGCGUCAUUACAACCCUCAAGCUCUGCUUGGUAUUGGGCACCGUCCUUUGCGGGCGCGCCUCAAAGACCUCGGCGGUGGCGUCUUGCCUCAAGCGUAGUAGAACAUACAUCUCGCUUCGGAGCGCAGGGCGUCGCCCGCCGGACGAACCUUCUGAACUUUUCUCAAGGUUGACCUCGGAUCAGGUAGGGAUACCCGCUGAACUUAAGCAUAUCAAAAGUCGGAGGAA
rnacentral:rRNA from 1 species